rnacentral:rRNA from 1 species
UACGUAGGGGGCAAGCGUUGUCCGGAAUCAUUGGGCGUAAAGCGCGUGUAGGCGGCUCGAUAAGUCUGCUGUGAAAGUCCAGGGCUCAACCCUGGGAUGCCGGUGGAUACUGUCGAGCUCGAGUCCGGAAGAGGCGAGUGGAGUUCCUGGUGUAGCGGUGAAAUGCGCAGAUAUCAGGAGGAACACCGAUGGCGAAGGCAGCUCGCUGGGACGGUACUGACGCUGAGGCGCGAAAGCGUGGGGAGCAAACAGG